UGAGGAAUCUUGCGCAAUGGGGGCAACCCUGACGCAGCCACGCCGCGUGAGUGAGGAAGGUCCUCGGAUCGUAAAGCUCUGUCAGUUGGGAAGAAACGCUAGGGGGUUAAUAGCUCUCUUGCUUGACGGUACCAACAGAGGAAGCACCGUCUAACUCCGUGCCAGCAGCCGCGGUAAUCUGGGGGUUGCAAGCGUUGUUCGGAAUUCUUGGGCGUAAAGCGCGUGUAGGCGGUUUGUUAAGUCUGAUGUGAAAGCCCCGGGCUCAACCUGGGAAGUGCAUUGGAAACUGGCAGACUUGAAUACGGGAGAGGGUAGUGGAAUUCCUGGUGUAGGAGUGAAAUCCGUAGAUAUCAGGAGGAACACCGGUGGCGAAGGCGGCUGCCUGGACCGAUAUUGACGCUGAGACGCGAAAGCGUGGGUAGCAAACA
rnacentral:rRNA from 1 species